ACAUUGUAAUGAAAAUGUUGCUUUGAUGACUGACAAUUAAUAACUGCCUAUCUUAGCUGGAAAGUAAUAAUUAAUUUAUGAAAAUAUUAUUUCAUAAUCCUAACUUUUAAAUGUGUGUGAAGGUGGAGCCUGGUAUUUCUCUAUGCCAAUAAGUUUGUUAUAACUCAAAAAUUAAAUGCAGUGCUGACAGAUUUUCAUAAGAAUUUUCAGUCUGCUUGUAUCAGUGACAUGAGAUGGUAAUCAAUACAUCAUCUAUACAUCAUUAUAAUUGAUUGCAUCAAUUUGAACUGGGUAGUUAGCUUUGUAUAAUUUGUAAAUAUUCCAACAAAUUUAAUUGAUUAUGAUUUUAGUGUAUACCAAAAAACCAUGGUGCUUUGCCUUAAUGAUGAGUGGCAUUUCUAUGUUAAUUGUUUUCUUUGAGCAUUUUUGAAAAUAUAAAAUAUCCCCAAAAAUGUUUACUUUUGUCUGUUUUUUUUUUU